GGGCCUAUAGCUCAGAUGGUUAGAGUGUACGCCUGAUAAGCGUAAGGUCAGUAGUUCAAGUCUACUUAGGCCCA
rnacentral:tRNA from 1 species